AAAUAUACGUUGACAAAUUACAAAGAUAACGUAGAAGAAAAAUGUAAAUGCACUGAAUACAGUGUUCACUUGCGCUCUGAUUUAUAUAAUUUAUAAACCACGAAACCAAAGAGCACUGAAUACUGGAAACGGGCAUCACGUCUUCCAGGAAAUUGACCACGUGGUCUCAGAACAUUGAUGUUUAUAGAACAUUAUAUCCCAUUUGUAUUAUCCGAGGGGCAGUUAUAAGUCAAAGAUACGAUGUACAUGUAGACUUGAUGAUGGGCAUUUCUUGUACCGUAAGCAGUACUCUUGUCAGAAAUAAAAGCAAAAUUAUGUCACAGUGA